AAUGGGGGAUAACGUAGCGAAAGUUACGCUAAUACCGCAUAUGCCCUGAGGGGGAAAGUGGGGGAUCGCAAGACCUCACGUUUUCGGAGCGGCCGAUAUCAGAUUAGCUAGUUGGUGGGGUAAAGGCCCACCAAGGCUACGAUCUGUAGCUGGUCUGAGAGGACGACCAGCCACACUGGGACUGAGACACGGCCCAGACUCCUACGGGAGGCAGCAGUGGGGAAUUUUGGACAAUGGGGGCAACCCUGAUCCAGCCAUGCCGCGUGAGUGAAGAAGGCCUUCGGGUUGUAAAGCUCUUUCGGACAGAAAGAAAUCGCACGGGCCAAUACCCCGUGUGGAUGACGGUACUGUAAGAAGAAGCACCGGCUAACUACGUGCCAGCAGCCGCGGUAAUACGUAGGGUGCGAGCGUUAAUCGGAAUUACUGGGCGUAAAGCGUGCGCAGGCGGUUUAUUAAGACAGAUGUGAAAUCCCCGGGCUUAACCUGGGAACUGCAUUUGUGACUGGUAGGCUAGAGUGUAGCAGAGGGGGGUAGAAUUCCA
rnacentral:rRNA from 1 species